UAUUCUGUCAAUGUUUGAAAAUUAAAAUAGAUAUGUUAUUUUUAAAGUUGUUAAUAAAAAUACAUUAUACAACCUAUAAAAGUAUAUAGAUUAAAUAAUUAUAAAUUGUAUCUCUCAAUUUACUAAACAAAUAAAAAUAAACAUAAACAUUAACUCUCUCACACUCUCUCUCUUCUCCCCCCUCUCUAUCCCCUUUUCCCUCUCCCUCUCUCUCCCUCCCUACCUCUUCCUAUCCCUCUCUCCCUCCCUCCUUCUCUCUCAUAUUUGAGUUGUGUAGUUGAGAGUAACCUAAAUUUAAAAAAAUAAUAAAUA
rnacentral:lncRNA from 1 species